rnacentral:sRNA from 1 species
UCAGCCGUUUACCGGCUGUAAACUUUUCGAGAUCAGUCUGGCUGUGCUUUGUCCGCUUCUCCUUUGACCACGGAUGUACUGGCACUGAGAUGAGGCGGAUAACGGAAGGCCGGUUUGCCCGGCCUUUUUGUUU